UCUUAUCCAGCAAAAAAAAGGUUCAUGGUAAACCCGACUGUGAGUCUGGGAGAUGGACCCUAUUAUAAUAUCACUCAGUUGUUGUUGGUCAAGUUGAAAAGCAAUCCACUCUUGGGGGGAAGGAUACGAUUUUGAGGGUUUGUAACCCAAAGGCUGUAUUCUAUCUAUCUCUUGAGUCUCAAUGAGUUGUUAGAAACUCGAGACAAUUGUCCAUAUGGAUUUAUCAUAACAUGGGCUCAUUUACAACUUUCAGCAAUGGAUCUCUUGGUUCUCGCAUCGAUGAAGAACGCAGUGAAAUGCGAUAANUGGUGUGAAUUGCAUCCAAGUAACUCUAAUUUACGAAUAACACCAAGUGAAUCAUCGAGUCUUUGAACGCAAUUGCGCCCUCUCGGUCGCUUCCAAUUGGGGGUUGACUCAUAGGGGGUACAUCUGUUCGAGGGUCAUUUUGAACCUCUCAAAGGGUUUUGCUUUAACCCUUUGGAUUUGGGUGUCUUGCCNUGAAAUUCUAUCUUGGCUCACCUUGAAAGCAUUAGCAAGGUUUUCAAUACUUGAAAGUCUUUUUGAAUGAGGGCGUUGUUAAUUUGGUCAAGCCUCCUCCUUAAGAGAGGGGAUCAUCUCAUUCGGCAAACUGGUUUGUGCAGCCAGUGGUGGAUGUGAUAAACAAAAGCGCCUCAAUGACUUUUGAAACUUGCUUCCAAUGAUCCUUAUGGGA
rnacentral:rRNA from 1 species